rfam:Coccidioides immitis RMSCC 2394 supercont1.24 mitochondrial scaffold, whole genome shotgun sequence.
AUUGUAUUUCAUCUUACAAUAGCCUAAUUAGAUAUGCAUUUAGGGUAACUUUUUUGUAUAAAGCUCUAAUUAUAAGUGU